GCAGCCGCGGUAAUACGUAUGGUGCAAGCGUUAUCCGGAUUUACUGGGUGUAAAGGGAGCGUAGACGGCUGUGUAAGUCUGAAGUGAAAGCCCGGGGCUCAACCCCGGGACUGCUUUGGAAACUAUGCAGCUAGAGUGUCGGAGAGGAAAGCGGAAUUCCCAGUGUAGCGGUGAAAUGCGUAGAUAUUGGGAGGAACACCAGUGGCGAAGGCGGCUUUCUGGACGAUGACUGACGUUGAGGCUCGAAAGCGUGGGGAGCAAACAGGAUUAGAUACCCC
rnacentral:rRNA from 1 species